rnacentral:lncRNA from 1 species
CUCUGGCGCUGCUCCCCAGGCAUAUAUAUGCAGGGGUCAGCCAGCAGGCUGACUUCCUGUGUGAUGAUGGCAGCAGGCGGACCUGGUGGCUCUGGCCAGGGCUGUUUGUGGCAGUGUGGUCCGAGCAUCUGCUAUGUUGGUUCAUGGUGAUGCCAGCAGUGUUACAGAGACACGGAUCUCGUCCAUGCACUUUAAGAUAAGUGCUCAAAGGAUCUUUCUGGAAGCACUGCACAGGAUGACCUGGAGUGAAUACAGUGAGACAGACUCCAGAGGCUA